CUUCAAGGGUGAAAAAUUGAUCCUUAUCACCCGUCAUGUGCCUUGAGCAGCCACUAUCCAAAUACCAGCAGUUUUUGUUGACCUUGGCUGCAAGACACUCCUACACAAGCAAAUCAUGUCAACUUAGGUACCCAAGUUUUCUUGGGUCCUUCAUGGUUAGUCAAGUUGGUUCCUUUUGGAACCCAUACCCUUUUAAUUUUUCUUCUUGAUUUACCUUUCCUAAAAUUACACACAUUUGCUUUAUGACCUAUAGUUCCACAACAAAAGCAGGUUAUUUUCUUAGUUUUAGUUUCCCCAGCUUUAACAAAGAAGUUACUAAGAAGUUUUUGUUUAUUUCUUGGUUUAUAUCCUAAACCCGCUUUAUUAAAUACUGCUCGUUGACUAUUGAGUAUCAUAUUUAACUUUUCAGAACUAUAUGUAAAUUUUUCAACUAAGGGUUUGUAUUUGUUAAGUUCUUUAGUUAGUGUUUAAUUUUCUGUUUUUAGAUCAUUUAGUUCGUUU
rnacentral:lncRNA from 1 species